rnacentral:rRNA from 1 species
UACGUAGGGUGCGAGCGUUGUCCGGAAUUAUUGGGCGUAAAGAGCUCGUAGGCGGUCUGUCGCGUCUGCUGUGAAAACUCGGGGCUUAACCCCGGGCCUGCAGUGGGUACGGGCAGACUAGAGUGCGGUAGGGGAGACUGGAAUCCUGGUGUAGCGGUGAAAUGCGCAGAUAUCAGGAGGAACACCGGUGGCGAAGGCGGGUCUCUGGGCCGAAAUUGACGCUGAGGAGCGAAAGCGUGGGGAGCAAACAGG